rnacentral:rRNA from 1 species
AGUGAACGCUGGCGGUAGGCCUAACACAUGCAAGUCGAACGGCAGCACAGUAAGAGCUUGCUCUUACGGGUGGCGAGUGGCGGACGGGUGAGGAAUACAUCGGAAUCUACUUUUUCGUGGGGGAUAACGUAGGGAAACUUACGCUAAUACCGGAUACGACCUACGGGUGAAAGCAGGGGAUCUUCGGACCUUGCGCGAUUGAAUGAGCCGAUGUCGGAUUAGCUAGUUGGCGGGGUAAAGGCCCACCAAGGCGACGAUCCGUAGCUGGUCUGAGAGGAUGAUCAGCCACACUGGAACUGAGACACGGUCCAGACUCCUACGGGAGGCAGCAGUGGGGAAUAUUGGACAAUGGGCGCAAGCCUGAUCCAGCCAUACCGCGUGGGUGAAGAAGGCCUUCGGGUUGUAAAGCCCUUUUGUUGGGAAAGAAAAGCAGCAGGUUAAUACCCCGCUGUUCUGACGGUACCCAAAGAAUAAGCACCGGCUAACUUCGU